rnacentral:rRNA from 1 species
UUAAGUUAUUAAGGGCGCACGGUGGAUGCCUUGGCACUAGAAGCCGAUGAAGGACGUUACUAACGACGAUAUGCUUUGGGGAGCUGUAAGUAAGCUUUGAUCCAGAGAUUUCCGAAUGGGGAAACCCAGCAUGAGUUAUGUCAUGUUAUCGAUAUGUGAAUACAUAGCAUAUCAGAAGGCACACCCGGAGAACUGAAACAUCUUAGUACCCGGAGGAAGAGAAAGAAAAUUCGAUUCCCUUAGUAGCGGCGAGCGAAACGGGAAGAGCCCAAACCAACAAGCUUGCUUGUUGGGGUUGUAGGACACUCUAUACGGAGUUACAAAGGACGACAUUAGACGAAUCAUCUGGAAAGAUGAAUCAAAGAAGGUAAUAAUCCUGUAGUCGAAAAUGUUGUCUCUCUUGAGUGGAUCCUGAGUACGACGGAGCACGUGAAAUUCCGUCGGAAUCUGGGAGGACCAUCUCCUAAGGCUAAAUACUCUCUAGUGACCGAUAGUGAACCAGUACCGUGAGGGAAAGGUGAAAAGCACCCCGGAAGGGGAGUGAAAUAGAACCUGAAACCGUGUGCUUACAAGUAGUCAGAGCCCGUUAAUGGGUGAUGGCGUGCCUUUUGUAGAAUGAACCGGCGAGUUACGAUUUGAUGCAAGGUUAAGCAGUAAAUGUGGAGCCGUAGCGAAAGCGAGUCUGAAUAGGGCGUUUAGUAUUUGGUCGUAGACCCGAAACCAGGUGAUCUACCCUUGGUCAGGUUGAAGUUCAGGUAACACUGAAUGGAGGACCGAACCGACUUACGUUGAAAAGUGAGCGGAUGAACUGAGGGUAGCGGAGAAAUUCCAAUCGAACCUGGAGAUAGCUGGUUCUCUCCGAAAUAGCUUUAGGGCUAGCCUCAAGUGAUGAUUAUUGGAGGUAGAGCACUGUUUGGACGAGGGGCCCCUCUCGGGUUACCGAAUUCAGACAAACUCCGAAUGCCAAUUAAUUUAACUUGGGAGUCAGAACAUGGGUGAUAAGGUCCGUGUUCGAAAGGGAAACAGCCCAGACCACCAGCUAAGGUCCCAAAAUAUAUGUUAAGUGGAAAAGGAUGUGGCGUUGCCCAGACAACUAGGAUGUUGGCUUAGAAGCAGCCAUCAUUUAAAGAGUGCGUAAUAGCUCACUAGUCGAGUGACACUGCGCCGAAAAUGUACCGGGGCUAAACAUAUUACCGAAGCUGUGGAUUGUCCUUUGGACAAUGGUAGGAGAGCGUUCUAAGGGCGUUGAAGCAUGAUCGUAAGGACAUGUGGAGCGCUUAGAAGUGAGAAUGCCGGUGUGAGUAGCGAAAGACGGGUGAGAAUCCCGUCCACCGAUUGACUAAGGUUUCCAGAGGAAGGCUCGUCCGCUCUGGGUUAGUCGGGUCCUAAGCUGAGGCCGACAGGCGUAGGCGAUGGAUAACAGGUUGAUAUUCCUGUACCACCUAUAAUCGUUUUAAUCGAUGGGGGGACGCAGUAGGAUAGGCGAAGCGUGCGAUUGGAUUGCACGUCUAAGCAGUAAGGCUGAGUAUUAGGCAAAUCCGGUACUCGUUAAGGCUGAGCUGUGAUGGGGAGAAGACAUUGUGUCUUCGAGUCGUUGAUUUCACACUGCCGAGAAAAGCCUCUAGAUAGAAAAUAGGUGCCCGUACCGCAAACCGACACAGGUAGUCAAGAUGAGAAUUCUAAGGUGAGCGAGCGAACUCUCGUUAAGGAACUCGGCAAAAUGACCCCGUAACUUCGGGAGAAGGGGUGCUCUUUAGGGUUAACGCCCAGAAGAGCCGCAGUGAAUAGGCCCAAGCGACUGUUUAUCAAAAACACAGGUCUCUGCUAAACCGUAAGGUGAUGUAUAGGGGCUGACGCCUGCCCGGUGCUGGAAGGUUAAGAGGAGUGGUUAGCUUCUGCGAAGCUACGAAUCGAAGCCCCAGUAAACGGCGGCCGUAACUAUAACGGUCCUAAGGUAGCGAAAUUCCUUGUCGGGUAAGUUCCGACCCG